GCCCGCCUAGCUCAAUCGGAUAGAGCGUCAGACUCUUAUUGCAAUGGACGCAUAUUCGAAAUCUGAAGGCUGCGAGUUCGACCCUCGCGGUGGGCU